AUAGAUACCCAGGUAGUCCACGCCCUAAACGAUGCGAACUGGAUGUUGGGUUCAACUUGGAACCCAGUAUCGAAGCUAACGCGUUAAGUUCGCCGCCUGGGGAGUACGGUCGCAAGACUGAAACUCAAAGGAAUUGACGGGGGCCCGGCACAAGCGGUGGAGUAUGUGGUUUAAUUCGAUGCAACGCGAAGAACCUUACCUGGUCUUGACAUCCACGGAACUUUCCAGAGAUGGAUUGGUGCCUUCGGGAACCGUGAGACAGGUGCUGCAUGGCUGUCGUCAGCUCGUGUCGUGAGAUGUUGGGUUAAGUCCCGCAACGAGCGCAACCCUUGUCCUUAGUUGCCAGCACGUAAUGGUGGGAACUCUAAGGAGACCGCCGGUGACAAAUCGGAGGAAGGUGGGGAUGACGUCAAGUCAUCAUGGCCCCUUACGACCAGGGCUACACACGUACUACAAUGGUGGGGACAGAGGGCCGCAAUCCCGGCGAGGGUGAAGCCAAUCCCAGAAACCCCCAUCUCAGUCCGGAUCGGAGUCUGCAACUCGACUCCGU
rnacentral:rRNA from 1 species